AUGAUCUGGAGCUGGAUUAUCCUCUUCCUAUUGGCAACAUCCACAGCUGUCCACUCCCAGGUCCAGCUUCAGCAGUCUGGGGCCGAGCUGGAGAAGCCUGGGGCCUCAGUGAAACUGUCCUGCAAGGCUUCUUGCUACACCUUCACCGACCACUAUGUGCACUGGGUGAAGCAGAGGUCUGAACAGGGACUGGAGUGGAUUGGAUGGAUUGGUCCUACAAAUGGUGCUACUCAUUAUGCUCAGAAGUUUAAAGGCAAGGCCACAUUGACUGUAGACAAAUCAGCCAGCACAACCUACAUGCAGCUCAGCAGCCUGACAUCUGAAGACUCUGCAAUCUAUUACUGUGCUAGACAAGUACACAGUGUUAUAACCACAUCCUGUGUGUGUUAG